AAGUCGUAACAAGGUUUCCGUAGGUGAACCUGCGGAAGGAUCAUUAACACUGUUAUCACAUUUUUCAAGUAAUACUUGGCAAUCUUACUACCCACCUUUUGGAUGAAUUUUUAUGUGGGUUGGGAAUGAAGUAAUAUUCAUUUUCCAUAUCUACAUUUUAUCUCUAUUAACGUUUUAACCCCAAACACCAUUAUUGCUAUGCAUUGACUGAAAUGUAUUUGUGUCUUUUCUUUUCACAAAGAAAACACAAAUCCAAACCAAAAAAGCUAAGAAACAACUCUUAACAACGGAUAUCUUGGCUCUC
rnacentral:misc_RNA from 1 species